UCACGAAGUGCCAGGCAUCUUCCUCCUCCGGUCUGUGUACUUGCCCAAUUUCUCACUUGCCGCUGCAUCAAGAGCCAUUUUGUGCUCUGCGUUUCUCUUCUGCGGGACUACAUGGUUCCAUCGGCCAUCGGUCUGGGAUAAUGCUCCUUCUCUUCCUUGGCAGAUUUAGAAGGUAAGUGCUGCCAAGUGGCUCUGCUAUGCCGGGAUUCCAGCAUCCUCACUGAAACCAGGGGACCCAUUGCAAAGGCAGCGUCAGCCUGGUCUGCGGAGGACAAGGAUCACAAAGCUAUUCUAGGAUGCUGAGGGUCAUCUCGCCAAUGUAUUGCUAAUGCCCUGGUGAAGGAAGUGUCUUCUGAGCCGUCCAGGAUGAUGGCAUGAGGGUGGGCAGGGGCGUUAGCAUACAGGUCACUUACGAUAAAUCUACUCCAACAUCCACCUCCUCUGAAACCUUCAAAUGCCCUCCUCUGCCUUAUGUGGGAAAGUUCCGCAUCUCCAUCUCAGUGAACGCAGGCCGCCAUUGAACCCAAGUUCUGCCAACCAACCAGGCAAACCAUUAGAACCACUUCUGGAUGUGAAAGACAACAUGUUACAUCCAUAAUCUCUAGGAAUGCUACUCCUUUCAAUUUAUUUGACUCAAUGCAGUUAUAUAACAAAGUAUCUUAAGGAGCUGGUUAAACAGAUAUCGAAAGAUGGAAAAGGCAAAAGGAAAACAUUGACAUAGCACAGAAACAAGAGCACAGAAAGGAGCUGCCAUUCCAAGGGCUGGGAACAAAGGACCGAGGCCAGACUGAUGAAGCGUGGAAAGCUCCGUGCCACAGGAAUCCGGCCUCUGUGGAGGGGGCUGGAGGCGGGCGUUUCUGCAGGGGGAUGUGGACAGGCCCAGAACACGAAACGGGAAGGAGCUGGUUGUUCCUCCUCCUCCAGGCUUCCAGUCUCCCUCUAGUGCUCCCUUUCGGAAAAACCUAACAGGGAGCCUGCUGCUAAAACAGAAGUACAGCUCAGAGAGCAUCACAAAGCAAGGAUAUACAGAAAAGUGGGCUUGGAGCUGAGAAACAACAGCCUAGUAAGCAGCAAGGUGCCCCUCAGACUGGCACAGAGGCAGCUGGCUCAACCUGACCUUAUUUGGGUUGCCCAGUGCCGGGAACAGGUCCAGUCUGCUCCAUACUCCUUAUGCCUCGAAUUGUUCCCGUAUCCCCUAAGAUCUAAUAUGUGUUACACCCACAGCACAUGCCACAGCCUCAGUUUCCCCCAUAGCUCAUCCCAAUUAACCCUAGAUGAAAGCCUUAUGAUUCAGAUGCUGCUGCAAGCAGGAGUCAUCGCCACCUCCACUGACCACCAGCCGCAGGGUCCCUAUUGACAUCGGACCAGAGAGAAACACCACUCCAGAAUCCUCUCCUGAAGGGUCUGCUUUCAACGGUUAUCCCUGGUGCCAGGGGUUCUCAGCUGGGUUCUCCAGAGCUUAGAGCCUGAGGCAAACCUUCCUCUGUUGCCACUUUAUCUGAGAGUACGAGCCCAGGAGGGAAGGAAAACGGGAAAGAGGCAGGGGAGCAGGGAGAGUCACCCCGAGGUAUGUUACUGAGCAUGCUUGAGCCAAUGGGAUGCUUGACUCUGCAGGAUCCUGGGAAUCUGUGAACUACUACGUUUCAGGACAGACUGGGGGAUGGUGGGAGCGAGGGAGGUACAUCAUUUUUCUGCUGGCUCCCGUGUCCCUUUGCUGUAAGAUUCCCUCUCUGUGAUUCUCUUUAAGAUUCACUUUCCUGCAAUUCUGGUUUGAAUGCACAG
rnacentral:lncRNA from 1 species